GAGCCCCGUCAGGACGAAGUGGGGAGCCCCCGAGUUUGGUUUCUACGCGGGGGGUCUGCGGGAUCACAGGAGGGUCGGGUUUUCUGUGAAAAGCCCUUCGUUGUGCUGUCGUGUUGCCCGCCCAGUCUGACAGGUCGUAAGGGGAAGCUCCAGAGACUGAAAAAAAUCAUCCCUUUUACUGAUCUUCACCUCUAAUUCAUCUCCAUGUGCUAUGUGGAAAUUGCUCUACAGCAAGUCCAUGGCUACAAAUAUGUAGCUGCAUUCAGCAAUAAAUGAUAAAAAAAAAAAAAAAAGCUUUGGAUGUGCAUGUUCACUAUAGCGUACACCCCCCUAAAGCCAUGUUUAACUUAGAGUCAUAUCAUAGAAUCAUUAGGGUUGGAAAAGACCUUCAAGAUACUUGGUCCAACCAUCACCCUCCAGCCAACGUCACCCACUAAACCAUGUCCCUAAGCGCCACGUCCAACCUUCCCUUGUAUAAAUGUUUCAUGCGAAGUAGAAUUUGAUUCAGGCGUUCUCCUAAUUAUAUAUCUUAUCCUUCAAAGUGAAUUCAGAUCAAUUAAACAGAGCACAAACAUGCUCAACGUUUCUCAGAUAUAUUUUGUACCAUUAGCCUUUGUAUGUGUGGAAUUGCCCCCAGCUAAGUUCCCCAAGAUGGUAAUUCCCAUUUAGGGAUACACCGAAAAAUAAGAUUAGGGGGUAUGGGAAGGGGAAUGCAAAAUGCUAUUUUUUGUCUUGUGAAUAUUAUCAAAAGACUUACAAGGAACUGAAGUGAUAGACAUUUUAGAAAUGUAUGUAAAAGAUUUAACUCAAAUAAAGUAAUUUUAAGAAUUG